CCCCCCCCCCCCCCCCCCCCCCCCCCCCCCCCCCCCCCCCCCCCCCCCCCCCCCCCCCCCCCCCCCCCCCCCCCCCCCCCCCCGCUCUUCCGAUCUCACUUUGUCACCCCUGCACACCCCAUCACUGCCUCGGGCCCAGACACCCCCCCAAGACUUUGUCACCCCUCCACACCCCCUCAUGGCCCCGGGCCCAGUCACCCCUCCAGGCCCUUCCACCCCCCCACCCUGUCACCCCCGGCCCGGUGCCAAGACUGCCCUGAGCCACCGCCCCCUCCCAGCCCCGGUCACGAAUCCAUUCGGGGCCAGCCCGGAGCUGUGGGAUGAGCUCUGGCACAGCCUGAGGCCUCUCCCAGCCUUUGCCCAACAAAGGGCCCUGCUUUGGCCCGGCCAGGGGAAUGGACACUCAGGACACAGCAGGAGCUGGUGACCCCGACUCUCCUGCACAAACACUGAGCAAGAGGAGCCUUCUGUCACCCGUCAGUGGUGACAGAGCUGUCCCCAAGUGCCUGCGGCAGGGUCUGUGCCCUGCUGGGGAGUCCCAGACCCCCAGGGCUGCUUGGCUGGAAGAGAAGCCACAGGGGAGCUGGUGGCAGGGGGAGGUGGGACAAGCAGGGGGUCACAGCCUGAGUUUGUUUAUACUUUUCAUUGUUGCUGCUGGUUUAGAUACUCUGCCAGUGCAUGAAUAUCACUGUUAUCACUGUAAAUGGCUAAGAAAAACCCACAUGUUCUGAAGCCACGCCUGACUUGUUUUCAUUUCUAAGGAUACUUUGUUUUGCACUCCUUAAGAUAUUUUAAAGGCAUCUGGAGACAGCAUUUUUCCUGCCACCCCUAUCUGUGCCUCUCGGGCAGUAAGUGCCCACAGAAGCAGAUGUUAUUUUAUGAAUCCUGGUCUUUUGUGCUGCAAUGCAUUUCUCCCUUCCUGCUAGCCCGCAGGAUCACGGGGAGGGCAGCAGGGUGGGCCUGGGCAGCCAGAUCUGCCCUGCCCCUCCCUCAACCCACCCAGGGACUCCAGACACAGCUGUUCUGCCUGCUGGAAGC
rnacentral:lncRNA from 1 species